AAGUAAAGCUCUCACGAAAGUUGUAAAACGACGUUAUGCAUGAACGUAAUGCUCAUAACUUCCCUCUAGACUUAGCUACCGUUGAGUCUCCAUCUAUAAAWGGAUAAAAUUUUGGUCUUAAAGUAUACUAGCUUUUAAAAGUGAAAGAGCAAUAUCAGCAGAAUUGAUAUUGCUCUUUCACUUUUCAGAGUCUUUUUUUAUACAUAUUUAUACAUAAAUUGUGGGUUUACUAGAAUAUUCUUUUACUAUAAUAUUCUUUAGCAUUCUUUAUUUCAACAUAAUAAAAAAAAUUAGAGUUUUGUAUUUCGGAAUGUAAAAAAAAAUGAAUGCCCCCCCUUUUUUCUUAUAUUUUCUUAGAAGACGAGUAAAAACUUAGAAGAAAAAAAUAUGAGAACGAAACAGUAAAACUUGAAGUCUCGGUAAUUUUCACAUAAAAUAGGGGCGGAUGUAGCCAAGUGGAUCAAGGCAGUGGAUUGUGAAUCCACCAUGCGCGCCUGUGUGAAAUUGUUAUCCAAAGCAUUACUUUUAUGCAUAACGUCGUUUUACAACGUCGGG
rnacentral:misc_RNA from 1 species